UGUGAAGGAUUCAUGUGCUGUCUUGGAGCCAGCUUCUCGGGAGCCCUCCAGACUGCAGGAAGCAGCUGUCACGGUCAGCAGAACAGUUCUGAUCCCGGCAGCUCUGGACCUGUCCGUGUUGAGCCUGUGUAUCACACAGGCCACCUGUUGCCCCAGAACUGCUGCCAACAUAGGAGCUGUGCGGUGCAGGGAGGCUGAACGCUAGAAGAGACCAUUUUCCUGAGUCAGCUGGGGAAGGCGGACUGUACGAACAAUAGAUCAGCCACACAUGGGAUUCCACCAGGAGUUUACUUCUCAUUCAGAGGCCAUGGUUCGUAAGUCGAGGUGCUAGGCAGGGGGAGGGGUCGACAGGCGGCCUACCUUAGCACAGGCACCCAGGAACUCAGACAGGCAGGGGCUCUGCCGUCUUCCCUAGGUCACUUCCAAAGCUGCCCAGAGGCACGGCCAUUCCAGCCAGAAGAGGAUGAGAGCCAGCAGCAUGCGUAGGGCAUUUCUAAGACCAGGUCUGGCAGUGGCCAACGUCAUUUCUUCUCUCAUUGCACUGGCAAACCAUGUGGCCCUCCCAGCUGCAGGAGAGCCCAGGCGAAGCCCCCAGGAAGAAGGGGAAAAGGGACACCCAAGGCGUGGGAUCAUAAAUGCGACCGCGUGUUGCUUGAAGAGGGACACACUCGGAGAAAUGUGUCGGGUGACUUUUUGAUCCUGUGACCAUGGUUCGUGCACUUUCACAAACCAAGAAGCCCAUGGCAUCUCUAGGCAAUGUAAUCUCGAGAUACGACCUCGGGGUUGUUUCCUAGACAGUCAACAGACACGGCGUUCUGCUACCUCUCCGUCGCCAGUAUCCGGCGGACUCCCGGCGCUGGCAUAAACACCAUCUCUGGAAGCCGGCACACUUUGGCAAGGGCUGGCUUGUUGCUCCCUGGCUCCUGG